UCUUUGACCCCGUAAAGUCACUGCCCGGAGCUAAGAUGGCAGCGUUGGUGGCAGCUGCAGCCCGGCGGCUGCGGCGGGCCAUUCGAAGGUCGCUCGCAUGGCGGGGCCCCAGCCAUCGGCUGCUCUCAUCGGAGCCCCCUGCAGCCAAGGCCUCGGCCGUGAGGGCCGCCUUUCUGAACUUCUUUCGGGACCGCCAUGGCCACCGGCUGGUGCCCUCCGCCUCCGUGCGGCCCCGCGGCGACCCCAGUUUGCUUUUUGUCAACGCGGGCAUGAACCAGUUCAAGCCAAUCUUUCUGGGCACCGUGGAUCCACGAAGCGAAAUGGCAGGCUUCCGACGUGUGGCCAACAGCCAGAAAUGUGUGAGAGCUGGAGGACGCCAUAACGACCUGGAAGAUGUGGGUCGAGACCUUUCCCAUCAUACCUUCUUUGAAAUGCUUGGCAAUUGGGCCUUUGGGGGUGAAUAUUUUAAGGAGGAGGCAUGUAGCAUGGCCUGGGAACUGCUGACUCAGGUCUAUGGGAUCCCUACGGAAAGGCUCUGGGUCUCCUACUUUGAUGGUGACCCUAAGGCAGGGUUGGAGCCAGACUUGGAGACCAGGGACAUUUGGCUGAGCUUAGGGGUGCCUGCUACUCGUGUGCUUUCCUUUGGACCACAAGAGAACUUCUGGGAGAUGGGGAAUACCGGCCCUUGUGGACCCUGUACCGAGAUCCACUAUGACCUUGCUGGUGGGGUGGGAGCCCCCCAGCUGGUAGAACUUUGGAACCUGGUCUUCAUGCAACACAACAGAGAGGCAGAUGGAAGCCUGCAGCCCUUGCCCCAGUGGCAUGUGGACACAGGAAUGGGCCUGGAAAGGCUGGUGGCUGUGCUGCAAGGCAAACACUCCACCUAUGACACUGACCUCUUUUCCCCGCUGCUCCACGCCAUACAGCAGGGCUGCAGGGCACCCCCUUACUUGGGCCGGGUAGGGGUGGCAGACGAGGGGCGCACAGACACAGCGUACCGCGUGGUGGCUGACCACAUCCGCACACUCAGUGUCUGCAUCUCUGAUGGCGUCUUCCCUGGGAUGUCAGGUCCCCCGCUGGUUCUUCGUCGGAUCCUCCGUCGAGCUGUACGUUUCUCCAUGGAGAUCUUAAAGGCACCACCUGGCUUCCUAGGCAGCCUGGUGCCUGUAGUGGUGGAGACAUUGGGAGAUGCUUAUCCAGAACUGCAAAGGAACUCAGCCCAGAUCUCCAACCUGGUGUUAGAGGACGAGGCAGCCUUCCUGGCCUCCCUGGAGCGGGGUCGGCGGAUCAUUGAUCGGACUCUGAGGACCCUGGGGCCUUCAGAUAUGUUCCCUGCUGAAGUGGCCUGGUCCUUGUCACUGUCUGGAGACCUGGGGCUCCCCUUGGACAUGGUAGAGCUGAUGCUGGAGGAGAAAGGGGUCCAGCUGGACUCCACUGGACUGGAGCGGUUGGCCCAGGAGGCGGCCCAGCACCAGGCACGGCAGGCUGAGCCAGUUCAGAAGCAGGGAUUGUGGCUUGAUGUCCAUGCACUGGGGGAGCUGCAGCGCCAAGGAGUGCCCCCAACUGACAGCAGCCCCAAGUACAACUACUCCCUGCGACCCAACGGAAGUUAUGAGUUCGGCACCUGUGAGGCCCAGGUGUUGCAACUGUAUACAGAGGACGGGACAGCAGUGGCCUCUGUGGGGAAAGGCCAGCGUUGUGGCCUCCUCUUGGACAGGACCAACUUCUACGCAGAACAGGGGGGCCAGGCUUCAGACCGUGGCUACCUGGUGCGGGUAGGGCAAGAGGACGUGCUGUUCCCAGUAGCCCGGGCCCAGGUCUGUGGGGGUUUCAUCCUGCAUGAGGCAGUAGCCCCUGAGUGCCUACAGAUCGGGGACCAGGUGCAGCUGCAUGUGGAUAAGGCCUGGCGUCUAGCCUGCAUGGCGAAGCACACGGCCACCCACCUGCUGAACUGGGCACUGCGGCAGACCCUGGGCCCUGGCACAGAGCAGCAGGGCUCCCAUCUCAAUCCUGAGCAGCUGCGCUUGGAUGUGACCACCCAGACCGCAUUGACCCCAGAGCGGCUCCGGGCAGUGGAGAACACUGUGCAGGAGGCCGUGCAGCAGGAUAAGCCUGUGUACAUGGAGGAGGUGCCCCUGGCGCUCACUGCCCAGGUCCCUGGCCUGCGCUGUCUGGAUGAAGUUUACCCAGACCCUGUACGGGUGGUGUCAGUGGGGGUACCCGUGGCCCAUGCAUUGGACCCAGCCUCCCAAGCCGCACUGCAGACCUCUGUGGAGCUGUGCUGUGGGACGCACCUGUUACGUACAGGGGCUGUAGGGGACCUGGUUAUCAUCGGGGACCGCCAGCUUUCCAAGGGCACUACCCGCCUGCUGGCCAUCACUGGGGAGCAGGCCCAGCAGGCCCGAGAGCUAGGCCAGAACCUGGCUCAGGAAGUGAAAGCAGCCACUGAGCGACUGAGUCAGGGGAGCCGGGAUGUGGCAGAGGCACUGAGGCUGUCCAAGGACAUAGGACGACUCAUUGAAGUGAGGGCCACGCCUACUGUGGAGCUGUUCGCCACCCUCUCCUGGCCCUAUUCCCUCCCCUAUUCCUCCCUGGACCCCUCUAGACUCUCCCUAGCACUCCAAUCGGGUUGGGCUCCAGCUGGCCCAGAUGUUUGUCUACAGGGUGGGUGUCUUCCCUGGCCCUGCUGGUCCCUACCUCAGAGACUAUGGCUCAGGGAAGGGCAGGGGUGAUGCACUGCUUCUGGCCAUAGGCUGUGGAAACUUCUGUGAUGCCCCAGUGGCAGCGGCGGGAGCUGCUGGCCACACUGAAGAUGCUGCAGCGGCGUGCCAACACUGCCAUCCGUAAGCUGCAGAUGGGGCAGGUGAGAGGAGGUUUGGCUGCACCCAUGUGCCCAGAGACACUCCAGCACAUAUACUGAGAAGUCUCAAGGGCUGGGGCGUGGGGGCUGCAAAGAAAACUCAGGAGCUGCUGGAGCGGCACUCGAAGGGGCCUCUGAUUGUGGACACGGUCUCUGCUGAGUCUCUCUCAGUGCUGGUGAAGGUGGUACGGCAGCUGUGUGAGCAGGCCCCCAGCACAUCUGUGCUCCUACUCAGCCCCCAGUCCAUGGGGAAGGUGCUGUGUGCCUGUCAGGUGGCCCAGGGUGCCAUGCCCACUUUCACAGCAGAGGCCUGGGCACUGGCAGUGUGCAGCCACAUGGGGGGCAAGGCCUGGGGCUCGCGAGUGGUGGCCCAAGGCACCGGAAGCACUACUGACCUGGAAGCUGCCCUCAGUACAGCCCGAGCCUAUGCCCUCAGCCAGCUCUGACCCAGGCCCACCCGGGGACCCGCAUGGACUAAAGGCAAUGCCAGGAGCCCUGAAGGAGCCAGCAGAAUCUUCCCACUGGCUGAAGCAAGGACUAGAGGCUGGAGGCCAAGCAACUGAACCAAAGAGGAUCACCUGGGCCAGGCCCUACCUGACACAAGGAGACAUGGGCUAGGGAAGGCAGAAGUGGGCCCAAAGACACACACCCCCUUGCUGAAUGAGAAGACAUGGGCAAUUAUGGCUGUGACUGCACAUUAGAAAUUAUUUCACUGGCCGGGUAUGGUGGUUCACGCCUGUAAUCCCAGCACUUUGGGAGGCCGAGGCAGGAUCAUGAGGUCAAGAGAUCAAAACCAUCCUGGCUAACACGGUGAAACCCCAUCUCUGCUAAAAAUUCAAAAAAAUUAGUCAGGCGUGGUGGCACACGCCUGUAGUCCCAGCUACUCGGGAGGCUGAAGCAGAAGAAUCGCUUGAACCUGGGAGGCGGAGGCUGCAGUGGGCUGAGAUCGCACCACUGCACUCCAACCUGGGUGACAGAACGAGACUCUGUCUCAAAUAAGUAAAUAAUUUCACAGAGGACAGGAAGCUGCAGAGGUUCUGUUACUUUAAAAAAGAGUAGUUUUGCCCCUCCCAGCAACCUGGUAUGGGUGCCCUAACACCAGUCUGAACUCACACUGUCUGAAAGGCCACCCAGGAUCCAAAUCAGGCCAUCUUCAUUGCCAUGAGUGUUCAGACAGGCUCUGCGUGCCAGGCAACAGUGGGCCCUGACAAAGGGCUCCUUGGCUACUGGGACAACACGGAACCAUCCUGUGAAAAUCAUUUCAGCAGUGGAGACCUUUGCUAUCACUUCUUUCAUUAGCAAUGACCUCUAAAUAAAAUUAGGCCCUGCUGGUUUGUCGAUGAGCAACUGAGAACGUGGCGGGCACCAAA